AUCAGACUUAGGUUAGGGUUAAAGUUAGAGUAAUAGUAAGACUGUCUUAAAUAUGCAUUCUAACGCCGUAGGCUGUGUCAAUACGCCGCCAGCGCCGUAUGCGUAUGUUUAUGGCAAGCCGUUCUCGUCAAAACUAUGUUUAAACUAUUUUUGAACAAUUCACAUACUGAGAAUUACAACAAAGCACACUGAGAUUUAAAAACUUGAAAAAACACAAUGAGAAUUAAAUAUUACACACUGAGAAUUAAAAAUUACACACUGAGAAUAAAAAAUUACAC
rnacentral:lncRNA from 1 species